CUGACGUUAGCGGCGGACGGGUGAGUAACACGUGGAUAACCUACCUAUAAGACUGGGAUAACUUCGGGAAACCGGAGCUAAUACCGGAUAAUAUAUUGAACCGCAUGGUUCAAUAGUCGAAAGACGGUUUUGCUGUCACUUAUAGAUGGAUCCGCGCCGCAUUAGCUAGUUGGUAAGGUAACGGCUUACCAAGGCAACGAUGCGUAGCCGACCUGAGAGGGUGAUCGGCCACACUGGAACUGAGACACGGUCCAGACUCCUACGGGAGGCAGCAGUAGGGAAUCUUCCGCAAUGGGCGAAAGCCUGACGGAGCAACGCCGCGUGAGUGAUGAAGGUCUUCGGAUCGUAAAACUCUGUUAUUAGGGAAGAACAAAUGUGUAAGUAACUAUGCACGUCUUGACGGUACCUAAUCAGAAAGCCACGGCUAACUACGUGCCAGCAGCCGCGGUAAUACGUAGGUGGCAAGCGUUAUCCGGAAUUAUUGGGCGUAAAGCGCGCGUAGGCGGUUUUUUAAGUCUGAUGUGAAAGCCCACGGCUCAACCGUGGAGGGUCAUUGGAAACUGGAAAACUUGAGUGCAGAAGAGGAAAGUGGAAUUCCAUGUGUAGCGGUGAAAUGCGCAGAGAUAUGGAGGAACACCAGUGGCGAAGGCGACUUUCUGGUCUGUAACUGACGCUGAUGUGCGAAAGCGUGGGGAUCAAACAGGAUUAGAUACCCUGGUAGUCCACGCCGUAAACGAUGAGUGCUAAGUGUUAGGGGGUUUCCGCCCCUUAGUGCUGCAGCUAACGCAUUAAGCACUCCGCCUGGGGAGUACGACCG
rnacentral:rRNA from 1 species